rnacentral:rRNA from 1 species
UUCAUUUAAAUUUAAAAUAGAAUUUUAUUUUUUAGUCAAAAAGCUAAAAUUAUUUUAAAAGACGAGAAGACCCUAUAAAUCUUUAUAUCUUUAAUAUUUUCAAUUUUUUAGAUACAUUUUAUUAUAAUAUGAAAAGUUAUUUUAUUGGGGUGAUGUUAAAAUUUGAUAAAUUUUUAAUUUAUUAAUAACAUAAAUUAAUGGUAUAUUGAUCCAUAAAUAAUGAUUAAAAAAUUAAGUUACUUUAGGGAUAACAGCGUAAUUUUUUUGGAGAGUUCUUAUCGAUAAAAAAGUUUGCGACCUCGAUGUUGGAUUAAGAGAUAAUUUUAAUGUAGAAGUUAAAAAAAUAAAGUCUGUUCGACUUUUAAAAUCUUACAUGAUCUGAGUUCAAACCGGUGUAAGCCAGGUUGGUUUCUAUCUUUAAAAAAUUAUAAUAUUUUAGUACGAAAGGAAUAAAUAUUAGAAAUAAUUUUUAUAAUAUGAAU